UACGUAGGGGGCAAGCGUUGUCCGGAUUUAUUGGGCGUAAAGAGCGUGUAGGCGGCCAAGCAGGUCCGCUGUGAAAACUCGGAGGCUCAACCUCGAGACGUCGGUGGAAACCGUUUGGCUAGAGUCCGGAAGAGGAGAGUGGAAUUCCCGGUGUAGCGGUGAAAUGCGCAGAUAUCGGGAAGAACACCCGUGGCGAAGGCGGCUCUCUGGGACGGUACUGACGCUGAGACGCGAAAGCGUGGGGAGCGAACAGG
rnacentral:rRNA from 1 species